rnacentral:rRNA from 1 species
CUACGUGCCAGCAGCCGCGGUAAUACGUAGGGUGCGAGCGUUAAUCGGAAUUACUGGGCGUAAAGCGAGCGCAGACGGUUACUUAAGCAGGAUGUGAAAUCCCCGGGCUCAACCUGGGAACUGCGUUCUGAACUGGGUGACUAGAGUGUGUCAGAGGGAGGUAGAAUUCCACGUGUAGCAGUGAAAUGCGUAGAGAUGUGGAGGAAUACCGAUGGCGAAGGCAGCCUCCUGGGAUAACACUGACGUUCAUGCUCGAAAGCGUGGGUAGCAAACAGGAUUAGAUACCCUGGUAGUCCACGCCCUAAACGAUGUCAAUUAGCUGUUGGGCAACUUGAUUGCUUAGUAGCGUAGCUAACGCGUGAAAUUGACCGCCUGGGGAGUACGGUCGCAAGAUUAAAACUCAAAGGAAUUGACGGGGACCCGCACAAGCGGUGGAUGAUGUGGAUUAAUUCGAUGCAACGCGAAGAACCUUACCUGGUCUU